rnacentral:tRNA from 1 species
GCCCGUGUGGCGCAAUGGUUAGCGCGUCAGACUUUUACCUUAAGAGGUUAUCUGAAUGUUGCGAGUUCGAGUCUCGCCAUGGGCG